rnacentral:rRNA from 1 species
UGCAGUUAAAAAGCUCGUAGUUGGAUUUCGGGCCCAGGUGACCGGUCCGCCGUUUCGGUGUGCACUGGUUAGCUCGGUCUUUCUGCCGGGGACACGCUCCGUCUUAAUUGCCGGACGUGGAGUCGGCGAUGUUACUUUGAAAAAAUUAGAGUGUUCAAAGCAGGCUUACGCUCUGAAUACUAUAGCAUGGAAUAACACGAUAGGACUCCGAGCCUAUUUUGUUGGUCUUCGGGACCGGAGUAAUGAUUAAGAGGGACAGUUGGGGGCAUUCGUAUUACGGUGUCAGAGGUGAAAUUCUUGGAUUUCCGUAAGACGAACUUCUGCGAAAGCAUUUGCCAAGGAUGUUUUCAUUAAUCAAGAACGAAAGUUGGGGGCUCGAAGAUGAUCAGAUACCGUCGUAGUCUCAACCAUAAACGAUGCCGACUAGGGAUUGCAGGAUGUUAAUUCGAUGACUUCUGCAGCACCUUAAGAGAAAUCAAAGUUUUUGGGUUCCGGGGGGAGUUUGGUCGCAAGGCUGAAACUUAAAGGAAUUGACGGAAGGGCACCACCAGGCGUGGAGCCUGCGGCUUAAUUUGACUCAACACGGGGAAACUUACCAGGUCCAGACAUAGUAAGGAUUGACAGAUUGAGAGCUCUUUCUUGAUUCUAUGGGUGGUGGUGCAUGGCCG